rnacentral:rRNA from 1 species
UACGUAGGGGGCUAGCGUUGUCCGGAAUCAUUGGGCGUAAAGCGCGUGUAGGCGGUCCGGUAAGUCCGCUGUGAAAGUCGGGGGCUCAACCCUCGAAAGCCGGUGGAAACUGUCGGGCUAGAGUACGGAAGAGGCGAGUGGAAUUCCUGGUGUAGCGGUGAAAUGCGCAGAUAUCAGGAGGAACACCGAUGGCGAAGGCAGGUCUCUGGGCAUUAACUGACGCUGAGGAGCGAAAGCAUGGGGGAGCGAACAGG